UUUCUUACAAGUUCACAAGCAAUACUUAUUGUCUGGUCAAAGAUAGCUGGGAAGUAUGAGUAUAAUGUUACCACAGCGAACUUUAUGGUGGAGACUUUGAAAUGUGCCUUGUCACUUGCAGCGUUGGCAAGAAUAUGGAAAAGUGAAGGUGUUACAGAUGAUAACAGGUUGAGUACAACCCUCGAUG